ensembl:lncRNA
GUGGCCUUCCGCGUUGAUUGGUGGAGCGCGGGCCAAUGAGAAGGCGGCGGGGAACAGAAAAAGUCGCAACUUCUCGCUUGUCACUCCGUGCGGGAAAAAAAACGCCGGCGGCCGGGUGGGAGCUGCAGGAUGUGUUCACUGGGGGAUCCGCCGCCGACGCCGCCCAGCCUGGUCUCGGGCGAAGAUCCCGGGCCGCCGACGCCUCCUCCCGCCACGCCGUCCGCCCUCUACCGCAGCGGCUUCGCGGUCGAAUGCGAGGCCAUCGCCCGGCAGCUCGGGCAGGCGGUGGCGGGCAGGGCGAGUGCCGGGCGGCCUCCGUGGAGCGCGCUGAGCGUGGAGGACGAGGUGCUGACGCCGUUGGAGCCCCCCUACUCCUUCGCCGAGCAGACGCCGGCGCGGCCGCGGGAGCGGCAGCCCUCGGGGGAGCCUGGCGGCGGCGGCAAUACAGCCGAGGGCGAGGAGGAGGCAGCGGACCCGCGGCAGCAGCGGCGGGACUGCACCUACGACGAGGAGCCCUGCGCGGCGGAGAGCGCCCUGGACGCCACGUACCUCUGCGACGACGCCUCUAGCGGCCAUCGCAACCGCACCUACGACGAGCAGGAGCCACUGCUGCUGUCCACGGGAGAGCCGCCGCCGGCGACGCCCUUAUUCGCCUCCACGCCACUGCUCCCGGGGAGCGCCGGCAGGCCCGGGCGAGGGCCAGCGGUGUCAGGACCCCGGGGGCGCCCGCCGCGGAGAGGGCUGUCGCUGAUCGGGAGGAGGGGGCUGGCGGGCGCGUCUGCUCUGCUGCGCCCCGAGGGCGGCGGCGGCAAGAACGCGGAGACGGAGAGCCUUCGCGGGCAGGGCCAGAAAACAAAGAGGAUAUUGUCAACAGUCAAGAAGGAGCCAUUUGCCCAACCGUCUUCCAAAUUCACUAGACAGUCUGUGGGAGGAAAGACCCUAACCUGCCUGGAACUGGAUCAGCACCGUGUUUCUGGAGAGAAUAAGCUUCCAGGGACAAGACUCCCAAUUCUUGCAGGUCAUACNAAGAAGCCUGCAGGGGGCGUUUUGCUGGCACCUGGCCAAAUUCCUUAUAGUGCUCCAGGCAGUGGCUCCAGAGUUGCUUGUGCACAGUGUCAGCGACUGAGGGAGGAGAAUGAGAGGCUGAAGCGCAUGCUAGAAGAUUGUCGAAGAACGAUAACGGUGCUGAAAAAAAAAGGGUGUAAUACAGCGUCUUCUGGGGAAGCUUUGCCGCAACAAAAUAAGUUUAAGGAGGCGAUCCCUUUCCAUCCUUAAGGGGACUGAGAAGGAAGAUAAUGAAGACCUGGCAACCUCUCUGUUGUCAGAAAAGACUCCAUAAAUGCACAGAAGAAUCCCAUGACUGCUUUCUUAUUUAUAUUGUAUUUGUAGCGGACAGAAAUAAAAUGUGAUCCAGUAGCUGCA